CUUAUAACAGGUUUGACAAAUUAUGACAAUGUAAAGAACAUCCCUCUAGCUCCGAUAGAGGAGUCAUCUAGGAGCGAAGGCAGUCCCAAUAUAAAACGAUAUGCUAGAUGAUUUGAUAGACAAACGGAAGUUUCACAUUUUCUCAGUAUUCUACAGCAAGCACGAUAUUCAUGCAGAGUAAGCGAAGAAGAUGCCGAACAUGAGAUGGGAUCAUUCAAAACUAUAUAUAUAUACAAUCAGUUAUAAAUGACAACUUUGGUAGUUGGUAUGCAAGUAAGUCCCUGAUGCUCGGAACAUCUUCAAGAGAGAGCUCACGCCCCAGCUGCAUUCUUGUUGAUUUCAAGGCAUCCUGGCAAGAAAAGAUAAAUAAAGAGAAGUGUUUGAAGAUGUUUCAAUAAAAGACAGAGGAAAGUUUCAACAGUACCUCAUAAUAGUAACUAGGCCGACAAACAUAAGGAACUUAUCUUUGGUAACUUACAAUAAAUUCCACAUAUGACUACACAAUAAAGACUACUCAAAGCCAUUUUCUCUUCUUUAACCGGUCCAAGAACCUGACCUACUUUACACUCUAUAUGUAAAGCCUCGGAUUUAACUUAUUAGAUAUUGUCCGCUUUGGUAUAUUCCAUAGUGAGUUUCACGAUUUUGUUCUUCGGUGUACAAGCGGCUACUUCCCCGGGAAGUUACCUAUCUUGCUAGUGCUUUAGCCUGGAAUCGCUAAAUUUGUCCUUAAAUCCAGCUUUCGCAACUCUUAGGACUUGUCUUUAUAGAGGCUUGUUACAUGACUCUUACUCAUAAAUUUCUCAUAAAUAUAUCUAACAUUGCAUGGAUGCUCGCAAGGACACUGGCAGACUAUGGUGUCACACCCCAAAAUCAAUAAGAGUGGCGGAUGACAUGACCAUUUUUCCUCCUAAAGAACGCAACCUCAAAACUCCUAAAAUCCUACUCCAAAAAUUGAAAGAUAGAGGAGUGAGCAGCCACAGCUCAACGAGUAGUGCAUCUCUUCUAAGCGGAUCAAGCAUCCAUUAUGCAUAUUUACAAAACCAAAUUGCAACUCUUUUCACCCAAAUUCAAGAUAUUAAAAACACACAGCAAAAAAAUAAGUUACACACGCUUCAAUAUAGCUAUAUUUAUAACAAAAAAAAUCAUUUCAUAAUAACAUCAAAAUAAACAUCAAUGGUCUAAUCCAUUGAUCAAUCUCAUUAAUUCACACACUAAUAGUCCAUUCAAUUAAUUAAUCUUAUGCCACAUAUCAAUGAUCUAAUGAAAUUACACGUCAAUGGUCAAUUCCAACGAUUAAUCUCAAAUUAUACAUCGAUGGUACAUUCCAUCUACCAAACUCAUAUCAUAUGUCAAUGGUCUGCUCCAUUGACCAAUCCGUUACUCAAUAUCAAAUCAUGGUCACGAUACAACUCCUAGUGACGAGGCGACCAAGAUUCCCCCAUUGGCAAUGUCUCCACCUAUUAUUAACCGGUAGUUUGGCCCACAAGGAUAUCCUAGACUAGUAUACGCAUACACACAAGCCCUUUGCUAGGCUUACAACAAUAUUGAGCAUCAAUAUCAAUCCCAAACAACACCAUCCACAAUUCACAAAAUCAAAUCCAUAAAUCAUUUUAUAUAUCACCAAAAGAUUUAGCAACUUAACUCAUCCACCAAAAAUACUUUUCAUAAAACAUCUCAAAUAAUUUCAAAACUCGCAUCAUAAAUCAAUUUUACCAAUCGAAUCAAAUCAAAUACAUUUCAAAAAACUUAUCACAAAUCGAGAUCUAUAUAACAUUCCAUAAACCAUUUCAAAGUCGAGAUUUUCGUAAAAAGGUUUCACAAACCCAAAACAUGUAAUAUUUCUCAACUUCAUUCAUCAAACGAAAUAUAUAUUUCCACAAAAAAGUUCUGACACUACUCAAAUACCAAAACGUAGUAUAUGCCCGAUCCAAAUUUUAUGCAACAAACAUGUUUAUUCAUAACUCAUAAAAUAUCAAAUCUUUAUAGUUUUGAAAACAUAAGUUUAUAUCUUACGAUUAAAUUACAAGCGUUACUUGAAUCGUCAAACUCGCAAUCCUAUCACAUAAAUGAUAAACAACGUUAAAAUCGAGUGAAACAAUACCUCAACUAUGACUUGAUCAAACUAAGCAUGAGCACUUAGAAAAUGACUCCUAUGUGCCAAUAAAUCGCUAAACCAAAUCAAUUACUCGAAGCUGUCCAUAGCGCGAAACUUGAGCAUGAAACUUUAUCAUGCCAUAAUUUUCUCCACCAAACUCCGUUUCAAGCUAACUUAUAGUCAAUGGAAAGCCCAACCAACGUACUACAAGAACCCCAAUUUAACAAACCCAAAAUCAAGCUGAAAAUUAACAAAAAAAAAUACGGCCCGAAGUCCUGGUUGCGCACUGUACAUCAUGCACGAUAAACUUCAAAAUUUUGUUUUGGGCAAAUUGUAAACUCAAAUCAUAAUCCAUAAAAUCCUAAAGCUUCAUAACAUCCUAAAUUAUCAUUUCUACAAAAAUACGUAGCUCAACCACUCAAAAAUCAUACUUCGCCACUUGAUUUUCACAAAAUUUCAAAUUUCAAACCUAGGUCCGAAAUUACUCCGAUUGAAUGAACAGGCGACAUGAGUGCUUACCAGGAAUUACCUUACAUAGUUAAGGUGGCUUGGCGAGGUUGCCAUGAUGAAAACGCACAAACCCCUUUUCUUCUUCUUCUUCCUCUCUUCCUCUUUCUUUCUUUGAGCGCAAGCUCGCUGCUCUCCCUUUCUCUCUCUCCUCCUUUUUCUUUCUCUGUUUCCUUUUAUCUCC
rnacentral:lncRNA from 1 species